AGCACUUUGUGUGACUGUUCGUUCAACUGGUAGACAAAGGCAUGAAAGACAGGUGCAAAAAUAAGUCCUCUCUUGCAACCCAAAACUCAUUGUUCAAAAUGAGUUUUGACAUAUAGAAGAAGGAAUAUG
ensembl:snoRNA